rnacentral:rRNA from 1 species
GUGGGGAAUAUUGGGCAAUGGGCGAAAGCCUGACCCAGCAACGCCGCGUGAGGGAAGAAGGGUUUCGGCUCGUAAACCUCUGUCCUAUGGGACGAAGGAAGUGACGGUACCAUAGGAGGAAGCCCCGGCUAACUACGUGCCAGCAGCCGCGGUAAUACGUAGGGGGCGAGCGUUGUCCGGAAUGAUUGGGCGUAAAGGGCGCGUAGGCGGCCUGCUAAGUCUGGAGUGAAAGUCCUGCUUUCAAGGUGGGAAUUGCUUUGGAUACUGGGAGGCUGGAGUGCAGGAGAGGAAAGCGGAAUUACCGGUGUAGCGGUGAAAUGCGUAGAGAUCGGUAGGAACACCAGUGGCGAAGGCGGCUUUCUGGACUGUAACUGACGCUGAGGCGCGAAAGCGUGGGGAGCAAACAGGAUUAGAAACCCUUGUAGUCC